GGUAGCGAAAUUCCUUGUCGGGUAAGUUCCGACCCGCACGAAAGGCGUAACGAUUUGGGCACUGUCUCAACGAGAGACUCGGUGAAAUCAUAGUACCUGUGAAGAUGCAGGUUACCCGCGACAGGACGGAAAGACCCCGUGGAGCUUUACUGUAGCCUGAUAUUGAAAUUCGGCACAGCUUGUACAGGAUAGGUAGGAGCCUUUGAAACGUGAGCGCUAGCUUACGUGGAGGCGUUGGUGGGAUACUACCCUAGCUGUGUUGGCUUUCUAACCCGCACCACUUAUCGUGGUGGGAGACAGUGUCAGGCGGGCAGUUUGACUGGGGCGGUCGCCUCCUAAAAGGUAACGGAGGCGCUCAAAGGUUCCCUCAGAAUGGUUGGAAAUCAUUCAUAGAGUGUAAAGGCAUAAGGGAGCUUGACUGCGAGACCUACAAGUCGAGCAGGGUCGAAAGACGGACUUAGUGAUCCGGUGGUUCCGCAUGGAAGGGCCAUCGCUCAACGGAUAAAAGCUACCCCGGGGAUAACAGGCUUAUCUCCCCCAAGAGUUCACAUCGACGGGGAGGUUUGGCACCUCGAUGUCGGCUCAUCGCAUCCUGGGGCUGUAGUCGGUCCCAAGGGUUGGGCUGUUCGCCCAUUAAAGCGGUACGCGAGCUGGGUUCAGAACGUCGUGAGACAGUUCGGUCCCUAUCCGUCGUGGGCGUAGGAAAUUUGAGAGGAGCUGUCCUUAGUACGAGAGGACCGGGAUGGACAUACCUCUGGUGUACCAGUUGUCGUGCCAACGGCAUAGCUGGGUAGCUAUGUAUGGACGGGAUAAGUGCUGAAAGCAUCUAAGCAUGAAGCCCCCCUCAAGAUGAGAUUUCCCAACUUCGGUUAUAAGAUCCCUCGAAGAUGACGAGGUUAAUAGGUUCGAGGUGGAAGCGUGGUGACACGUGGAGCUGACGAAUACUAAUCGAUCGAAGACUUAAUCAA
rnacentral:rRNA from 1 species